rnacentral:rRNA from 1 species
UAGGGAAUCUUCCACAAUGGACGCAAGUCUGAUGGAGCAACGCCGCGUGAGUGAAGAAGGUUUUCGGAUCGUAAAGCUCUGUUGUUGGUGAAGAAGGAUAGAGGCAGUUACUGGUCUUUAUUUGACGGUAAUCAACCAGAAAGUCACGGCUAACUACGUGCCAGCCGCCGCGGUAAUACGUGGGUGGCAAGCGUUGUCCGGAUUUAUUGGGCGUAAAGCGAGCGGAGGGGGAAUGAUAAAUCUGAUGUGAAAGCCCACGGCUCAACCGUGGGACUGCAUCUGAAACUGUCAUUCUUGAAUGCAGAAGGGGAGGGUUGAAUUCCAUGUGGAGCGGUGGAAUGCGUAGAUAAAUGGAAGAACACCAGUGGCGAAGGCGGCUCUCUGGUCUGCAACUGACGCUGAGGCUCGGAAGCAUGGGUAGCGAACAAG